UACGUAGGCAGCAAGCGUUGUUCGGAGUUACUGGGCGUAAAGGGUGUGUAGGCGGUCUUCUAAGUUUGGUGUGAAAUCUCCCGGCUCAACUGGGAGGGUGCGCCGAAAACUGGGAGGCUAGAGUGCGGGAUGGGAGAGUGGAAUUCCUGGUGUAGCGGUGAAAUGCGUAGAGAUCAGGGGGAACACCGAUGGCGAAGGCAGCACUCUGGCCGAAGACCGACGCUGAGGCGCGAAAGCGCGGGGAGCGAACGGG
rnacentral:rRNA from 1 species